rnacentral:sRNA from 1 species
AAGUAGAUGCACCCUGAUACUACCCCCAGCGUUCGCGUUGGGGGUUUCUUAU